UAGCAAUAUAGGCCUUGGCGCAAUGAGAGAGACCCGGGGGAGAGGUGACGAUCCCCAGCGAGGCUGCACAGAUCGGCGAGGGCGGCGACGGACCGAGGGAGGAGUUGUGGGAUCAGCGGGGGUGAAGCGCGCCCCAGUUCACCCGAAUAUUCAGAGUUCGACUCAGACAGAACCGACAUUUAAAUUCCCAUCUCGCCCGCCUCACUUUCCAUCUGGUCCAAACGGGUGGGGCCGGGCUGGGCUGGGGGCCGGCCUGUGGAGGUGCGUUGGGGGCCUCGGGGAAUGGAGCCGCCGCUGAGAUGCUCAUUGCUUCAUUGGGAUUCUCACUGGAUCCAAUCACACUGUCAAGCUUGGAUGGGAGGCCUGUCUCCUCACUUCUCCUCCUGCUCUCACAGCCACAACCACAACGUGAGAUGAGAGACAGCCACCCGCAGUCCGACACCCAAAAGGUUUGGGAACAACAUUUUUUUUUAUUUCGGGGAAUUUGUUUUGGAGUCAAA